rnacentral:rRNA from 1 species
CGUGGGUAACCUGCCCAAGAGAUCGGGAUAACACCUGGAAACAGAUGCUAAUACCGGAUAACAACAGAUGAUGCCUAUCAACUGUUUAAAAGAUGGUUCUGCUAUCACUCUUGGAUGGACCUGCGGUGCAUUAGCUAGUUGGUAGGGUAACGGCCUACCAAGGCGAUGAUGCAUAGCCGAGUUGAGAGACUGAUCGGCCACAGUUGGGACUGAGACACCGGACCCAAACUCCGUACGGGGAGGCAGCAGGA